CAGGUGCCUGGAAAGCAAUGGUGUAGGAAGGGAAUAUUUUAAUGCAAAUCGUCUAACUUUGAUAAGUACAGAUGGGUUUUUCUGGGUUUAAUCAUUACCUCAAGAGGAACGUUAAACGAAAGCUGAAUUGGUGCUUGAAUCUAAUUUUUUAUAGGCCAGUCAAAUACAAAAUAUGUCAUACAGUGAGAACAAAAUGGAAAUUCUGUCUUAUGACGUGGCUGCUGGUUUCCUACUGAAAAUCCGUAGUGUGGUGGGAAGAUGCAGCUGAUGUGAACCUGUGGAUGCGUCCAUCAGGUCUUCUGUAAUGGCCACAAUAAAAACGAUGGCUUCCCACCUCAUCCUAGCUGCUUCCCCAGUCUCUUCCCCUUCAUCCUCUUCUCCUCAAACUCCCGUCUGAUCCAAUCAGAGCCGAGGGAAGCUGCGGAGACGGCAGCUGUACGGCAGAGGACAGGGUCAUAAAGCGCAGAGGGCCGAAAGAGGAAGUCAAGGGACCUGGCCUCAGGGAUCAGGACCUGAUGGAGGAGGCCUGAGAAGUUUCCCAGAGACUAUGGGUUGAGGAGGAAUUGGAAGUUUGUCGGCUUAGACCUGGUGUCAUUCCAUCAGUGUUAAACUUCCCGGCUCAUCUUGGAAGAGUAUGUGCCAGAAAGACCAUGACCAAGCAGCCUUGAGAUCUUAGGCAGCGUCUCCCUGAGGUGGGUGUCAACGGUGUUCACAGUCAGGUCUGUGGUAAUCCUGUCAAAAAACAAAACAGAAAAAAAUCUAGAUUAUAAAUCAACAUGUAACCAAAGCACUCUGUGUAUAACGCCAUAGUAUAGGAUGUAGUUCAGAAAAUGUCAAAGUAUAGUAUGCUUUACUCAAGAAUAACAUAGUAUGGCCUGUAGUUCAUAGUACAGCAUGUUGGCAAGGAAAAAAAAAAACAUAGAUUAUUAUGUGGUUCAAAAAGCGCAAAAUGAUAGGAUGUUGCCUAAAAUUGUCAUGUAUGAUAUGUGGUUCAAAAAAUGUCAUAAUUUAGUAUAUUGUCAAAAUAGUAUGUAAUUCAAGAAAACAUCAGAGUAUAUGUCAUCUAAAAAAUGCCAUAGAAUAAUAAUUUCAUUGCACAAGUAAAAGUAUAGAAAUUUUUAAAAACUGUUUGAAUUCUUAUGUUGCUAAAAAAAAACCCAAAAAAACUAAAACAGUCACAAUAAUAUGUCAGUUAAAAAAGCCUAUAGUAUAGCGUGUCGCCCAACAAACAUCAUAGUAUAGCAUGUCACUCUAAAAACAUCACAGUAUAGCCUUUAGUCCACAGCUGUCAGUAGGUGAGGAGCAAAACAGAAACAGUCCAAACGCUGGUUUCCAGAGGGUUAGUUGAGAAUUUAUUUGAAAGAGUAAGUUUACAACAACACAACAUGUGAGGGGGUUAAAAACAAAUGGGUGUUAGUAAAAUAAAAAUAAAUUAACAGAACUAAAAGUGAACUUCAUGUUGACAUUGAUGGGCAUUCCAACCAGGAACAGAGUAAAAGAUAAUCAAUAGGGGAAAAAACCUCUUUCUGUUCACCUCUUAAAACCCCAAAACACACCGCAUGGGUUCCCUGUUUUCCUUUGUGAACAAUUCAAAGGUCCCUCUCUAUCUCCCCACACAUCCACCAACCACUGGAACACAUCUCCAAAGUUCUGUGGGGCCAGCUCAGCUUCCCCUCAGAAGAAGUGCGUCCACCUGCCAGAUGAAGGAGCCUUUUGAGAGGCAGCUGGCAUCGUGAUUGGACUGUACGUUGGUCUGUUCCAAUCCAGCUUCAGCUCCAGAGACGGCAAGCGGGACGAGUCAACGGAGGCCGGAUGGACGAAGGCAUGCAGCUGAGUACAAUCCAGAAAACAACAGAGGAGGAAUGCAGCGACCCAGGGCCAGAACAAAGAGUAGUAUAGUAUGUCUCUUAGAAAACAUCAUAGUAUAGCCUUUGGGAUGAAAAAACACCAUCAUAUACAUCGUAGAUUGUACAAAUAACAAGUCAAAGGAAAGAGACAUACAUUGUAGAAUUGUAGUAAUUGUGGGCUGACGGAUUUACUGAUUAUCAGUAUUUGAUUUUGUACUGAUUUACAGUAAUAAAUACAUUUAAAAAUGGCGCUACUUUGGCUCUGAACCUUUAUCUACCUGUGGUCGCUCUGUGUUCUGGAGUAAUUUGAUUGGCUAUAUGUCACAAAUAAAACUCCUUUAACUUAACAUCAGUAAACAAAACAAAAAUGCAUCAACAAAGUUUUCUGUUUGAGUUUGUGUUCUUUUAAGUUUAACUCUAAGAUUUUAAAUAAUUUCAUUUACUGCAAAAGGAUAAGCUGCUCCAAAUGUCUCACUAAUAAUCAUUAUCAGCCUUAAAAACCCACAAAACACCCCUCUAUACUUGACCACAAUUAGUACAGUCCGGUUCCCCCUUCUAUAAAUCUGCUUGGAAUCGUCCACUUCCUGUUUGUCAAAGUGGCCUUCUACCUGGACAGGUUUUGUUGGAGCUCAUGCAGCAAACAUUUUGGGUAACUGCACUUUAAUAUGGAUGGAUGACACUGAAUUAGAGUCUGUUUUAAUGAGACUGAGUUAAGAUGUGUAGCUCUGUCAUUAAAUAGUAAAGUAUGUUUCAGAAUUCACAGAGAGAAGUCUGAAAUGUUUGUUAGGUUGGCGUCCCACAUGUUGUUUGGCUCAGCUAAAGCUAACUCUGUCUGACUUCUGGAUCUCUUGAGUUGCUUGUUGUUAAAAUGUCUUGCUAGAGGUGCUGAAGCUCAGAAAGUCUGAGAUGUUUGUUCAAAAUAAGCUCAUACUCAAGUCUUAUCUGAACUGUCCUCUUUUGUUUGAACUUUCCCUAAACUUAGGAGUUAAUGACAGAGCAGCACAUCCAGACUCAGUCUCAUUUAUGUAGAGAUUAAACUUCAGUGUCAUUCAUUGAUGUUAAAGUGCAGUUUUUCAAAUGUUUGUUGCACAUGCUCCCGACCAAAGCAGUACAGGUGGAAAAUGCUGUGAAGAGAAAGCUCCAGAGGAUGAAUAUCACACAUUUACGUUGGAAAUAAAUGUCCUUUAAUUAGACAUUGUCAUGCAAAAGUUGGAUUUCCCUUUAAUGAUGUUAAAAUUUUUGUUGAGUGCUUUGUUGAUGUUGGUUUCUAAAUGUUUUUUGACACUCGGCCCCAAAGAUUAAUACCUUCUACGGUUUACCAGCUGCAACAAUCUAUAUCCCUAACAGUAUAGUACGGCCAAAACGCAGAAGAAAAAAACCCCAACUUUAUUCUAAAAAUUUUUUGGCUACUUUGGAUUAAUAUUAAAUUAUGAACAUAUGUUAAAUUUAAUAUUCAUUUUUGUGGAUACAUUACAACUGUCAGGACCUAACUCUCCAACCCUAACCCUACCCCUAGACUUUCUAUUGGAUUGAUACACCUUUACUGACAGACAACAUGCGGGUUCAUAUAGCGCUGCGGGUUAAACCACUGACGUAUGUAUUAGGUCCCCAACGCUGAGGCCCUGGUUCGAUUCCCACUCGCAACCCCGUGCCAUAGGAAGUGCUCUCAUUCUUAUUUCUACCCCCUUGUCUGGCUGUCUCUCACUACACCUAUUCAUGAAAUAACUGAAAAAAACUACAACACUUAUUUACAAAGUUACAUGUUUAGUUAUUAAAUAAACUUCUUGAUUUUCUUACUUCUUUUUUUGUCCAACUUUAUAAAUGUUUUUUUUGUCUUAACUUUUCCCCCUUUCAUUUAAUGGCAUUUUGUUAGAUACUUUAUUUCUUUCAUCUUCUUCUUCUUCUUUCAAGAUUUUUACCCCAACCUUAACAAUGUUACAAACCCUUACAUUACAAUAAAAAUACUUCUGUUGUAAAAAUCACAACUUUGUCAAUUUUUCUAUUUAUCCAUUCCACUUAUUUGUUUAGCACCUUUGACACAGGUGACAAAACUAAACAAGCACAUAGAAAAAAACCAUGCUAAAACUAUGAUGAAAACUCCCACACAUACAAAAACCAAAUAUUUAACAUGUUCAUUAAAUCUUUUGUGCCCAGGGGAUGGAGAAAAUUUCUUGAAACCUUCUUGGCCUCACAUGGUCAAUCAUUUUCAAUAUUAACUUAAUUUUCAGUCGAAUAAAACUGGGAACUGCAGAGCAACACAAAAACCAACUAUAUCUCCUGUUUUCUCCUUUAAUGACUACUCUUCUUGUGCUUUCAGACCAAAGAACUACUAACUCUUCACAACCUGCUCAAACUCUUGGUACAGGACCUCACCACACGGGUCAAGAAGGUUUCUGUCUCAUUUCUACUCUGAAGAUCACCUUCUCCUACUCAAACUGCUGACAAAUGUUUCUACUGCUCUAAAAUCUGUGUAACCCAUAUGAAAACGCAGUGUUGGGUUUACUUAGCAUAUUUGAAUUUUUAGUUUCUGUAACUUUAAUUUAAAUAUCGGAAUUUAUUAAUAUAGCUGUAAUAGGAUGAUUGUAGUCACUUUAAGCAGCCGCUAGGUGGCUCUGUGCGCUCAGUGUAGAGAAUCUAGUAGACGUGCGCAUUGCAUGCUGGGAUAUAGACACCCCAGCUAAGCCAGAUUCUAAAGCUGCUACAGUACAUUCAUCACAGUUAUUGAUAUUUUAUUUAAGAAAAACCGCUUUAAUUUUAAAGUUAAGAGUGUGUACAUGUUUUGAGGUGUCCCGAAAGAGUCCCACACCGCUGCGACGGCAGGAUUUGUUUUCUUUUGUUUUUCUCCACCGAGGACUCCGAUUGGUUUUUUCUUGAUGCUGGAUCUACAGUCAGUGGACAGCAGUGAUUCCAACCAGGGUUAAAGAGGAUCCAGAAUUCUCCAUCUUCAUCAUCUUCAUGAAGAUUCAUGUUGGCAGAUAAGAUUUAAACGGCGCGCAGUAACCAUACAAACACACACACACUACCCGGGUAGAACACAAUAUACACACACACACACACACACACUGAAUGAACUGGGACAGACAUGGAUUUAAACUGAACGCUUUGGACCGGACUUUGAUAGACUUUGAUAUCACACAGCGUCAGGCUGUGAAAGGACACUUUAUUUUGUUUUAUUUCUUUUUAUAUUGGGAUUUUAAAAGUGAAUUUGUGCCACUUCAUGUCAAUUUUUGAAAUAAAUAUGUUUUUGUUUACCUUUUUACAUUAA